UCUCAAAAUUGCUGGAGAGUAUUAAGUGCCUUCGUUAAAAAAAUCAUAAUUUCAAUAAUUUUUUUUUUCUAAGGGAGGAAAUAAAAGAAACAAAAGUCCUGUACCAUGUUACAAGUUGCAUUGUGAAGUCAGAGAUGCCACUAUGUUUGUGAAGAAACAGCCUGAGAUCUCAGUUGGCCUCUUGCACAUGGAUUAGACUCUACAAGGUCCAAGCAGUAGGACUCAGCUGAGCACCAAUGGACAGGAAAUUUUCUCAUUAAAACAAUAUGAGCUUUGUGCUUGUUACUUUCAGCACUGUUGAUUUCUGGAAUUCUGGGUUCCAAAAUCAGCGCUUGGCAGUAUCCUUAUUGGCAGUGGUCAUGGUGGUGGUGCAGUGGUGUGUCAGGAGAGGGAAGAGCAUCUCCUGUGGCAUUGCCCUUGGCCAUGUGGUGCAACCUCUCACACGGGUACUGGUAUGAGAAAGUCUGCGUGGGAUUCAUACACCCAGAACCUAGAGACAGGUACCUGCAUCUCAUCCAGAAGAGGUCAGUGGCCUCCCGAGUGGUCCAGCAGCCAAGGACAUCCUGGCCAUGGAAAUAAACCUCAUCCCAAGGUGCCAACACACACUCAUACAAGGUCAUUGAAGGCAUGGAGGAGAAACUCUGCACCUCUUCCAGGGAUGCAGGUUCUUCCCCUGCUUUUGAAACUGUGGCAGAAGGAGGUAGGGAUGGCCAAUGGCAGUGGUGGUGAGAGCUGCAGCCCAGGAGUAGAGUCCUUGCGUGUCGCUCACCGCCACCCUGACCUGGCCUGAGCAAUGCUUGAUGGAGCUGAAAUCCAUCUACUGGGAAGGCCUGAACCAAGAGGAAGGCUUCACCUCAGACUAGUACUUGGGGGUGGGAGCAGUAAGUAAGGCACUCCUUCAUUUGACAGAUAUAAAAUCAGACUGCAGUUCCAAAUGUUCUGCCUGCAAGACUUAAUAAUCCUUAGACUGAGUUAUUUAUGCUUGCAUUCAACAGUGCUGGUUUCCUUUGUAUUUACUUUUCAUUUUAAUUGGGUGCAGGCAAUGUUGGCUUGGCUGUGGUAAAGAAGUCUUUUCUGUCCCCAACUUUGUGGCAUUUGAUCUUUUCUGUUAUUUUUAAGCUACA